UACGUAGGGGGCAAGCGUUGUCCGGAUUUAUUGGGCGUAAAGAGCGUGUAGGCGGCCAGACAGGUCUGCUGUGAAAACUCGAGGCUCAACCUCGAGACGCCGGUGGAAACCGUUUGGCUAGAGUCCGGAAGAGGAGAGUGGAAUUCCUGGUGUAGCGGUGAAAUGCGCAGAUAUCAGGAAGAACACCGAUGGCGAAGGCAGGUCUCUGGGCAUUAACUGACGCUGAGGAGCGAAAGCAUGGGGAGCGAACAGG
rnacentral:rRNA from 1 species